AUUGAACGCUGGCGGCAGGCCUAACACAUGCAAGUCGAACGGUAACAGGAAACAGCUUGCUGUUUCGCUGACGAGUGGCGGACGGGUGAGUAAUGUCUGGGAAACUGCCUGAUGGAGGGGGAUAACUACUGGAAACGGUAGCUAAUACCGCAUAACGUCGCAAGACCAAAGAGGGGGACCCUCGGGCCUCUUGCCAUCGGAUGUGCCCAGAUGGGAUUAGCUUGUUGGUGGGGUAACGGCUCACCAAGGCGACGAUCCCUAGCUGGUCUGAGAGGAUGACCAGCCACACUGGAACUGAGACACGGUCCAGACUCCUACGGGAGGCAGCAGUGGGGAAUAUUGCACAAUGGCGGCAAGCCUGAUGCAGCCAU
rnacentral:rRNA from 1 species